rnacentral:tRNA from 2 species
GGGCGGGUAGCUCAGCUGGUCAGAGCGUCUCGCUUACACCGAGAAGGCCGCGGGUUCGAUCCCUGCCCCGCCCA